rnacentral:rRNA from 1 species
UACGUAGGUGACAAGCGUUGUCCGGAUUUACUGGGCGUAAAGAGCGCGCAGGCGGUCGAUCAAGUCGAGUGUGAAAGCCCCCGGCUCAACUGGGGAGGGUCAUUCGAUACUGAUCGACUCGAAGGCAGGAGAGGGUAGUGGAAUUCCCGGUGUAGUGGUGAAAUGCGUAGAUAUCGGGAGGAACACCUGUGGCGAAAGCGGCUCACUGGACCACAACUGACGCUGAGGCGCGAAAGCGUGGGGAGCAAACAGG